rnacentral:rRNA from 1 species
AGUGAACGCUGGCGGUAGGCCUAACACAUGCAAGUCGAACGGCGGCACAGUAAGAGCUUGCUCUUACGGGUGGCGAGUGGCGGACGGGUGAGGAAUACAUCGGAAUCUACUUUUUCGUGGGGGAUAACGUAGGGAAACUUACGCUAAUACCGCAUACGACCUACGGGUGAAACCAGGGGAUCUUCGGACCUUGCGCGAUUGAAUGAGCCGAUGUCGGAUUAGCUAGUUGGCGGGGUAAAGGCCCACCAAGGCGACGAUCCGUAGCUGGUCUGAGAGGAUGAUCAGCCACACUGGAACUGAGACACGGUCCAGACUCCUACGGGAGGCAGCAGUGGGGAAUAUUGGACAAUGGGCGCAAGCCUGAUCCAGCCAUACCGCGUGGGUGAAGAAGGCCUUCGGGUUGUAAAGCCCUUUUGUUGGGAAAGAAAAGCAGCAGGUUAAUACCCCGCUGUUCUGACGGUACCCAAAGAAUAAGCACCGGCUAACUUCGUG